rnacentral:rRNA from 1 species
GGAAUUCGCCCUUAGAGUUUGAUCCUGGCUCAGGACGAACGCUGGCGGCGUGCUUAACACAUGCAAGUCGAGCGAAGUGUUCAAGACAGAUUUCUUCGGAUUGAAGUCUUGAAUAUCUUAGCGGCGAACGGGUGAGUAACGCGUGAGAAACCUGCCUUUCACAAAGGGAUAGCCUCGGGAAACUGGGAUUAAUACCUUAUGAUACUUCAAAUUCGCAUGAAAUUGAAGUUAAAGCGUAAAGCGGUGAAAGAUGGUCUCGCGUCCCAUUAGCUAGUUGGUAAGGUAACGGCUUACCAAGGCGACGAUCAGUAGCCGACCUGAGAGGGUGAUCGGCCACAUUGGAACUGAGACACGGUCCAAACUCCUACGGGAGGCAGCAGUGGGGAAUAUUGCACAAUGGGCGAAAGCCUGAUGCAGCAACGCCGCGUGAGCGAUGAAGGCCUUCGGGUCGUAAAGCUCUGUCCUCAAGGAAGAUAAUGACGGUACUUGAGGAGGAAGCCCCGGCUAACUACGUGCCAGCAGCCGCGGUAAUACGUAGGGGGCUAGCGUUAUCCGGAAUUACUGGGCGUAAAGGGUGCGUAGGUGGUUUCUUAAGUCAGAGGUGAAAGGCUACGGCUCAACCGUAGUAGGCCUUUGAAACUGGGAAACUUGAGUGCAGGAGAGGAGAGUGGAAUUCCUAGUGUAGCGGUGAAAUGCGUAGAUAUUAGGAGGAACGCCAGAGGCGAAGGCGACUUUCUGGCUAAACAUUGACGCUGAGACACGAAAGUGUGGGGAGCAAACAGGAUUAGAUACCCUGGUAGUCCACACCGUAAACGAUGGAUACUAGGUAUCGGCUGGAUGGCUGUCGGUGCCGAAGUUAACGCAUUAAGUAUCCCACCUGGGGAGUACGACCGCAAGGUUAAAACUCAAAGGAAUUGACGGGGGCCCGCACAAGCAGUGGAGUAUGUGGUUUAAUUCGAUGAUACGCGAGGAACCUUACCCGGGCUCGAACGGUGCAUGAAUAUACGAGAGAUUGUAUAGUCCUUCGGGACAUGUAUCGAGGUGCUGCAUGGUUGUCGUCAGCUCGUGCCGUGAGGUGUCGGCUUAAGUGCCAUAACGAGCGCAACCCUUGUCAUUAGUUGCCAUCAGGUCAAGCUGGGGACUUUAAUGAGACUGCCACCGUAAGGUGUGAGGAAGGGGGGGAGGACGUCAAAUCAGCACGGCCCUUAUGUCCGGGGCGACACACGUGUUACAAUGGGAGGUACAGAGGGCAGCUAUCCGGUGACGGAAUGCUAAUCUCCAAAACCUUUCUCAGUUCGGAUUGGAGUCUGCAACUCGACUCCAUGAAGGUGGAUUCGCUAGUAAUCGCGCAUCAGCCAUGGCGCGGUGAAUACGUUCCCGGGCCUUGCACACACCGCCCGUCA